GACGAACGCUGGCGGCGUGCCUAAUACAUGCAAGUCGAGCGGACGAAUCGAAAGCUUGCUUUUGAUUCGUUAGCGGCGGACGGGUGAGUAACACGUGGGCAACCUGCCCUGUAGACGGGGAUAACACCGAGAAAUCGGUGCUAAUACCGGAUAACACGAAAUGUCGCAUGACGUUUCGUUGAAAGACGGCGCAAGCUGUCGCUACAGGAUGGGCCCGCGGCGCAUUAGCUAGUUGGUGAGGUAACGGCUCACCAAGGCGACGAUGCGUAGCCGACCUGAGAGGGUGAUCGGCCACACUGGGACUGAGACACGGCCCAGACUCCUACGGGAGGCAGCAGUAGGGAAUCUUCCGCAAUGGACGAAAGUCUGACGGAGCAACGCCGCGUGAGCGAAGAAGGCCUUCGGGUCGUAAAGCUCUGUUGUUAGGGAAGAACAAGUAACGCAGUAACUGGCGUUACCGUGACGGCACCUAACGAGAAAGCCACGGCUAACUACGUGCCAGCCGCCGCAGUAA
rnacentral:rRNA from 1 species